rnacentral:pre_miRNA from 1 species
AAACAACCCCUUAUGUUUUGAUUCUUUGGUAGUUUUGGACCCCCAAGGCAAAAAAAAAUAAAAUUGACGCGUGCCACGUCAGCGUUGACCGAGUCAACAAUGGACUGGGGGUCCAAAACUGCCAAAGAAUCAAAAUAUAGGGGGCUGUUU